AUGGAGUUUAACACAGUGACUUCUCCCAGCAGUAGCAUAAUAUGGGUGACACCAGAAAUCGAAGGCAAACCCCUCAAAAUGGAGCUGGACACAGGAUCUGCAAUGUCUAUAAUUUCCACGGCUGUUUACAAUGAGCACUUAAAUGCUAUCAAGCUGAAGAACACAAAUGUAUUGCUGAAGACAUACUCAGGAGAGAGAUUCAGCCCAAUGGGGGCGUUGCAUGUCAGAGUGAGUUAUGGGGAGCAAACACAACAGCUGUAUGUGGUGCCUGGAACUGGACCCCCAUUAUUUGGCAGGGAAUGGCUUUCAAAAAUAAAGCUGAACUGGUGUGACUUGAAAAUGCUCCACACGUUCCAGUCCAAAGAGAAAGUCACAGACCAAACACUGGAACACUUGCGGAAGAAAUACAACACAGUUUUCAGUGAUCAUAUGGGUACAGUAAAAGGCUUCACAGCUAAACUUGUACUGAGAGAUGACGCAACCCCAAAAUUCUGCAAAGCCAGAUCUGUUCCAUACUCCCUGAGACCAAAGGUGGAAACGGAAAUUGAUCGCUUGCAGGAUACAGGGAUCCUGACGAAAGCGGACAGAAGCAAAUGGGCCACACCCAUAGUUCCUAUUGAAAAGAAAGACGUGUCUGUUAGAAUGUGUGGGGACUUCAAGGUAACUGUGACUUCAAUGUUGCAUGUGGACCAAUACCACCUGCCACGUCUGUAUGACAUCUUUGCUGCUCUAGCUGGUGGGAAACACUUCAGUAAAAUCAAUCUGAAACAGGCUUACCUGCAGCUAACGGUUGGAGAGAGCUCCAAACAGUACCUGACAAUAAACACACACAAAGGUCUAUACAGGUAUAACCGCCUGGUUUUUGGCAUUGCAUCGGCCCCAGCCAUUUGGCAACGAACUAUUGACCAGAUUUUGCAAGGAAUCCCAGCAACCCAGUGUAUUCUGGAUGACAUUAUCAUAACAGGACGCACCGACAAAGAGCACCUGGCUAACCUGGAAGAGGUCCUAAAAAGACUGAAAGAGUAUGGACUACAGGCAAACUUACAGAAGUAUGAGUUCUUCAAAGACAAGAUUGUCUUCUGCGGACAUGAAAAUGACCGCAAUGGAUUGCACAAAACACAGGACAAAAAACGAAGCAGUGGUACAGGCACCACGACCACAAAAUAUCACAGAAGUGAGAUCGUUCACGGGACUGAUCAAUUACUACAGAAGACUCCUCCCAAACCUUUCAGCAGUACUCCAGCCUCUCAAUCAGCUCCUGGAAACGAAUAG
rnacentral:lncRNA from 1 species